rnacentral:tRNA from 1 species
GGCUGGAACUCAGUGGUAGAGUGCUUGCCUAGCAUGUGUGAGGCACUGGGUUCAAUCCUCAGCACCAGAUA